rnacentral:lncRNA from 1 species
UUCGUUGAAUAACACAAUACAACACCUGUAGAAACUGUAUACACGGAUUGUAUUUAUGUACAAUGGAGAAGAAGAAACUCGUAGGUAGAUGAUCGAGAACCAAGCUGUUGUGCACGCCCUGUAAUAAUAAUACUGUAUAUUCGACAUCCGUUCCAUAGGGAUUUUUGUUGUCGAGAGUCUCGUGAAAAGAGAGAAUUGGCAUUGACCCCGAUAUCAAUAAUAAAGCCGAAUGAUCGUCAAGAUAAUUGGCAGCUAUAUUAUUAAGAGUGGCAACGUUAUUAUUUCUUUUCAAAAGUACAAAAGACAAGUCAAGGUUUGCUCCCGAUAAACCGUUAAUACGAAAUGUACACACACAUCUCUGAUAUAAAAAUCUGGAACGAUCGUUUCGACGUCAUGGUGUCAUAUUUUACACGUGUAUUUUUUGUUUUCCUUUUUUCUUUUUUUUUCCAAGUUAUCGCAAUUCCCAGAAGUUGUAAUUCGCAACAGCGAAUCGAUAGGAUGCAUUAACUCGAACUCGGUGAAAAUGAAAUUGUAAUGGCGAGGGGGGUAUUGCGUGCGACCUAUUUCUCCCGACGGUUUAUCGAAUGAUCGAAUUUCCGUCGUGGAAAAUAUAUUUCUCGAUUACGACCAAGUUUUUUAAAAGUUUUAUCUGGAAAAUUUUAUCAUCGUUCCCCCUCGAUUUUCCGCGAGGGGAAUGGGAUUCUUGUAGCCGAUUAUUUCGAACGAACCCUUCGCUUCCAUUCUUUCUGUCGGGACGGAAAGUUCCCGGAAAGUUUCACGCUUGUCGCCAUCGCGUCUCCAUUUUAAAUGUAAAUUUCAACCAUGAUUCUCAAAUGUUAUUAUAUCCCGAGUUUCCAAGGUUCCUUUCUUAAUCGAUGAUCUUUUUUAAUUCGAGGGGAAACCUUCCUUCCUUCGGAUUAACAUCUGCCUUAGGAAUUAACAAUUACGCGCGAAUUAAACUCUCGUUUCUUCGUUCGUUUCUUUUUUUUUUUUUUUCCAACGAGAUGAAAGAAUGGUCGGACACGGUAGGAGUGGAGUGGAUACGUGCGACGAGGUUGAACGCAGUUUCCAACAAGACGGGGGAUUUUAAUGAAAUUUGCGUUAUGUAACCGUCUCGAAUACGCGCGUGCACGGAUACGAGCCAAUUCGAGCCGACCAACGAGCGGAUUUGACGCGCGACGUUAAAUUUCUAAUUUUGUGGACACGUCGUAUUGUUCCCACGUAAUUAAAACUCGAGAAUUACACUUUUAUCCGAUCGCUCGGUUAAUUCGUACCACGAGUCCACGUCGUAAAUAAUUCCUUUGUCAAAUACGUAGCAAUUGUGACACGUCUCGCAAUUUAUCGUAACGUAUUGUGUUAUGUAUCGUAAUUAACUUCAUUUCCACGCGGAUUCUCUGUCUCCGCUUUAUUUGUACACGCGUGGCCAACUGGUUCGCGAGACUAAUUUUCGCGAGACCUGUUCGAAACAAUUCGUGCCAAUUGGGAAUCGUUGAAGAUUUUCCUCUUUCGAGAAGUGUAAUAAAUUCUCUCUCUAAAAUCGCGGGAAACAUUGAUCGGUAUCGACGGUGUGAAUCAUCGUGUAUUUUCCUCUUGUUGUAUCUGAAAUUGGAUAAUCAGACAGACCGGCGCCCCGGACUUGCAAUCGGAAACCGCUUCUGUACUUCUUCCUGAUCGAUCUUCGUUGCAGAGCAAUUAACGGUGAAAUUAGGAUUAAUUACGGUCCAUUAAAGCGGAAAACAACGAGUCAAUUGUUCGACAACAUUGAUUUUCUCGGUUUAAAAAUAUUUACUCGAAAUAGAAUACGCGUUUCCGUAUUACAUGGAAAGAAUAAAGAAGUUGAGGAUUAUCGAUCUACGUGGUAUUUGUGUCACAAGCUUGUGAUAGUUGACAGUGCCACGGUACAACUUAAAAAAUAACGAUGGAUAAGUGAAUUAUAUAAGUUGUACGUGAUGAUGAAUGGUGUUAACGGGACAUUAAAAUGUAAGAAAUUCCUUAUGACACCGCGAAUUCAUACGUCAUUUUGCUCUACUUUCGCUGAAAAAUUCGUUUUCGUGCCACUUGGCAACAUGCCGGAUUCACCUGAACUGCAGGAUCCUCGGGAUUUAGCUCAAUUUCCAACUCGAUAGAAACAAUGGGCCAAUUUCCCCUCUCUCUUUUUCCAGUUUCAAACAGUUUAGGGGAAUAUUGAGUAUCGGAAACGUUGAUCGAAACAUUGGAAAAUUCUACAUAUCAUCCUGCGUGAAAUCGAAAUUUUCGAGACGACGUUUUAUGCAAUCUUUAAUUUUUCCAUUCACGUUCUCUUCUUUCGUAUAUUAAGUAAUGUCAUGAAAGUCACUUUUACAACACGCACGUAUAAUAUACGCUGAGAGAUAUAAUUUAUUCGAAAAUAAACUUACUUAUUGCGAUAUUUACAUAUUAAUUUCCGGUUCCAUAAAAGUUAUAUAUAUUAAAUUAUUAUAUAUAAAAAUUCUGGUAAUAAGAUAUUUAAAAAAAAGAAAAUCUUUGUACGUCAUUAUCCAUUUUCAAGAAUAAUAUUAAUUUUAAUAAUGACGCAAUAGAAGAGUGAACGUAAAUUUAACUCUAAUUAACAACUUGAACGAAAUAUUCUCAUUAUAUAGAGACACACCCACGCUUCUAUACUAUAUCCCGAUCAUAAUUAUAACUAAUUAACGAGAACAGAAGAGAGAAUUCGUGUCAACUGUCAUGCAAACCCAGCGUCCUUUAUAAACUGUCAAAUUUCAAUAGCAGAUGUACUCGUGUUUCAUAAUUGCUGGCAUGAGUGUAGACAAAUGGCCACGAAAUAUACAAGGUAAAAUUAGAACAAAAACCCGACAACAACUCGUCCAGGAUCAGAGGUAACGAAAGGUAACGGAAUUGUUGUGCAAUUGCAGUUAAUGCAUGGAAUGAAUAGAAUAAUUCAAUUCUUUAUAUUCUUCCAUUAUGUUAUAUUACCUUUUAGGAUGCAUUUUUUGAUAUUGGGCAUCGAGCUGUGUUUUCUUUCAAAAUACAAUUUGAAUUUAUUUAGAUAGAAUCGCUUUGGCAAAUGAUCUAUACUCUGCAUAGAUCUCUUGGUCAGAUUUGACUGUUUUUUGUUGAAAUGAUAUUAUUAGAAAUGUUGUCAUGUUAUUUCAUGUCGUAAUUCAUUUCCAUACUUUACGAUAUGAUAUAUAUUUAUAUUACUUCAUUUGAAAUAUUUUCAGUUUCUAGAUGUUUAUACGAAAAAUACGAAUAUUUUCACGAAUGCAAUUAAAGAAUGUGAACCUGCAUAUAAAUUUGCUUUUUAAAAAUUAUAAUUUUGAAAUUAUUAAGAAAAUUGUUUACUUGCUAUUUAAAAAUCCAUGAUAUUUUCCGUAUCGUUCAAAAACUUUCCUUUCUUGUUUCGAUCUCGAAAUAAAAUUCGACCAGAUCUAAUUUCUUCGUCGUUAAUAAUCGCUCGAGCUCGCUUUUGUUUUGGAAAAAAGGAAAGCCUGAUUCCUGUAAGCCUGUAAGGGAAAGAUGUAAAUCGAUCUAAUCCCGGCAGCCUCGUCUUACACGCAUCUCUCUCUGCUCCAACGGUGAACGGGUUACUUGCUAAAAAAAAAAUCUCGUGUGCAGCUCGGUUAAUCGAUCGGUAAAAAGGAUAUGAACGAGAUAUCGAAUGACGUGGAUAUCGAAUGUUCCUUCGGCGGUGGUUAGCCUGGCUCCUAGCGACAAUCGAUCGAAUGGGUUUCUUGGGAAUCCAACAUUUUCUUUUUCUUUGUGCCAAGUGUUAUGUACCACCUCGUCAAGUACCGUACAUAUAUAUAUACCUGUUCCUACCCACAGCAAUUUUAUUUCGUGUCUCAGCUUUUGCUUCUGUAAAUUUAUGUCGUAUCAAUUUUAUCGUAUCGCUCGAAACGUUGAAUUAUUUAUGAACGUUGCGUUUAAUCUUCGUAUAUUUAGCAUUAUUAUUAUCUAUAUUCGCUCAUAAACGCGAGGAUACUAUGAUUUAUUAGAAGAGGAGGGAAUGAUCAAUGUGAUCGAACUUUGUGUUCACGUUGUAUAACAAAACUUAGAAGAGUUUAAUUUUUUUCUUUCGCGUGGCUGAUCAAAGAUGAUAAAAAUAUUUUGAUUCAUUUUAAAUUAAUAUCGUUACACGCAAAAUAUUAUUUUGUAAUAUUAUAUUUUUACGAAUAUCUGUUUACGAGAAUUUUAUUAAAAUUGUGUAAUAUUUGUAGUUUUCGAGCAACGAUUUGUUAAAUUCACCUCAUUUUCCAUAAAUUUCAUGACAAAUUGAUAAAACGUGGGAGUGGAAGCAAAACUCGUUAAUAUUAUUUGCGUAUAUAUACGCCAAGUUCAUACACAUUGUGGCAGAUAUUCAACCGUAAUAAAAUACGAUCAUAAUUACGCUCACGUUUUAACGAAUCCGUUAUCCAGAUUUAAACACUUCAAGCAUCCGUUGCCUGUUUAUCUUGCUCCAUAUUUAAAAAUCUUGAAGAUUUUAAAUUUUCGAAUUACCUUUGGAAAAUCCACUCUGGUAUCUGCGAUUAAUUUGCAACAGUUUGAAACGGGUUUGCAGCCCGGCUUAAAACUCUCCGACUUCUCGAAUGAAUGCGAAUACCUCGAAAAUCGUGCCGUUUUUCUGCCCGAGUCGAGUCGUUGAAAAACUCUGGUCACUGGUUAAAUCCUCCUUUUCACAGAUAUUGUGUCUAUUCAACAGCUUUUCACGCAUUUCUUUUUUCGCAAUUUUCGCUAACACCUCUUGCGAAGAAUACUUUUUCCUUUUCCUAGAAAGGAGUUAUAUACUAAGUAAUUAUUCCGAGAGAAAAAAGAAAUUGCAGAUUUUUUUUUUUUUUUCAGUAUUUUAAAUGGAGUUUUUUUAUUCUCGGUCUAUUACCGCUCGAUUGUCAAGCCAAGUCUUUUAACUUGAAAAAUCCAUUUUCGUAUCAUUCGUUCAAUCGAUGAAGAUUUUUUUUAAAGAGAAGAUACUUUGAAAGGCAAACGGGGAUUUGCAUAACCGAUAUAUUCCUGCAUCUUCGUCCCGCACCUUUGAAUAAUGAAUUUUUAAUGUUUCCUUGGACGUUGGAAGUUUUAAAACAAUCGAUUCGACGAGUUGGAUAACUUGUUAAAUGCAUAGUUGUCUUUAUUUCAACUUGUUUUUGUAAUCAGUGUAACUUAUCGAGUAUUUCGAAAGCCUUUACGUAUAACCUUUUCGUGUCAUGUCAUAAAUAUUAAUGCUGAUUUUUAAUGGCAACUAAAAAUGUUUACGAUUGUAAUAUAAUAAGAAACUCAUAAUUCUAAAUAUAAUAAGAAAAUUAGUUAUUAUAAUAUUUAUAUUUGAUACUCGAUAACUUUAAAAAUUCUAAUUCCACUCUUAAAAUUCGAGUUAUCGAGAUUUUACCAUUUUAUAAAGAUAAGUUUUAAUUCAUGCAAUGAAAGCGUACAUCAAAUAAUUCGAAUCAAAUUACUGUGUUUCACAGAAGAAACGAAUGGACAAAAUUAUAUUAUUUUAAGUUAUUCGAAUUACAGAAGAUGGGGAAUAAAACUUGGAAUUUUUAAAAGACAUUGCAAUAACAAUUCUUCGUUUACUCUCAAAUUAAUAAUCGAUAAUUUGUCGAAUAAUCGUUAUAUAGCUGAUAGAUAUUAGAUUUAAUCUUAAAAAUAUUGCAAAAUAAAAUAAAAAUGAAUCACGAAAGAAAACAAAUUUGUACAGAGAGUUCGGAUUCAUCGGAUUUUGUUUGUCCUCCUCGUUUAAUCCACGUCCCAUUAUAUUUCUUUAUUGCACUUCAUUAAUGCACUCGUCAUUGAAGAAGAGGUUCCAUUUUAUUAAUACUUUGGCGAAUUAUUAUUAUUUUACAACGUCGUUACUACAAAUAAGGUUUGAACAACCUUCGGUAUAUAAUUCAUUAAAUAAACGCAAGCGAGAGAGGCAAGGGCCUCUUGGAACAUGUUAACAGCGCGCAUUUAUCGUUACUUGCCUUCAUCGACAACUUGAGACAGGAACACAACCGGAUUUAACUUGAACCGGAAAUGAUAGCGCGACGUGCUAGAGAUACGGAAAACCACACGCAGACAGAUUUGCUGUGCUUGGAAAUUCAAUGAAGCGAACCUCAUACCAUAUAUUCGAACCACUACAAGUACCGUUUAAUCUUUAGCUGGAAAAUAGAACGGGCAGAGGAUUAACGAGAUUAUUGUAUUAACGUAAUAAGUGAUUGGAGACAAUAAUUCGAAGUAUAUAAGCAAAAGAUCCAAUUACAUUUACGAAUGAAGAAGUUUUGGCAAACUUGGUUGUUGUUUUAAAAUUAAAGAACGAAUAAAUCGAACGGCAAUUCGAUUUGCAAGAUUGUUUAUAUAAUAAAUCAAAUACAAUCAAACAAUAAGAGAGUUAGUCGUUAAUCGCGUUUUUCGAGAAGAAAUUUUUAAACGAAGUAAUAAAAGAAAAUGAAAGAAGGAGAUGGAAUUAAGACGUGGAAUUUCAAUUUGUUCUUUAUACGUGAAAUUCUUCAAACACAAUGUGUUUCAAAGAAAAUUUUAAUGAAAACGGUAUCGAAAAACGGAAUGAAAACGUGAAAUUUCAUUUCAUUCUUCGUAUAUCUUCGUAAAAGAGUUAAUAACGCUAAAAACGUUUCGUGUAAAAAUGAAAAAUGUAUUAUAAAGGCAGAGUAUUAUUUAGACUCGUUUUUUCACGUGUUACACGUGUUGAAAUAAAUAUAAACGUAAUGUA